CCUCCAGGCACCGACAAGGUACAGCCUGAACAGGAGCGCAGGUUCAUCAGCCACGUGAACUGCAGAGCAUCCCUGAAGAUGCAGGAGGGGAAACACUACCUCAUAUGGGGCCCCUCCUCAGACCUGUGGGGAGAGAAAUCCAACAUCAAGUACAUCAUCAGAAAGGACACCUGGGUAGAGCUGUGGCCUGAAGCGGACGAAUGCCAAGACGAUGAGAACAAGAAGCUGUGCAGGGACCUGGCCAGCUUCAGAGAGAACAUGAUCGUCUUUGGCUGUCCCAACUGAGCCCCCUGCCAGGACACACCCCAAUAAAGCUUCAGUUGUAUUCCA